UAUAUAAAUAUAUAUUUGUUUGUUUACGUGAAUAAUUUCUAACAAUCCCAUUAACUUUGACUAGUAAGAAUUAAUUUGAAAAACAAUAAUAUAUAUAUAUUAAAAGUUAUACUAAAACUUUUAAUAUUUGUAGGAAUGCCCUACAGAUAUAAAACAUUUAUGCCCUUUAUUUGUUUUUUGCAUAAUCAAAAAAUUAAUAGUAUAUAAAAGUUAUACUAAAACUUUAUAGAUUUUUUUUUUUGAACUUUAUAAGCAUUUUGUAAGCAAAAAAAUAGGAAAAAAAA
rnacentral:sRNA from 1 species